rnacentral:rRNA from 1 species
AUUCUAAGGUGAGCGAGCGAACUCUCGUUAAGGAACUCGGCAAAAUGACCCCGUAACUUCGGGAGAAGGGGUGCUCUUUAGGGUUAACGCCCAGAAGAGCCGCAGUGAAUAGGCCCAAGCGACUGUUUAUCAAAAACACAGGUCUCUGCUAAACCGUAAGGUGAUGUAUAGGGGCUGACGCCUGCCCGGUGCUGGAAGGUUAAGAGGAGUGGUUAGCUUCUGCGAAGCUACGAAUCGAAGCCCCAGUAAACGGCGGCCGUAACUAUAACGGUCCUAAGGUAGCGAAAUUCCUUGUCGGGUAAGUUCCGACCCGCACGAAAGGCGUAACGAUUUGGGCACUGUCUCAACGAGAGACUCGGUGAAAUCAUAGUACCUGUGAAGAUGCAGGUUACCCGCGACAGGACGGAAAGACCCCGUGGAGCUUUA